ensembl:lincRNA
AGCCACUCCUCCAAUCCUGAGCAUGAGCAUCUUAGAAGAAAAUGGUCUUCCUGAGCCUCGCCCGCAGGAGAGACUGGCCAAUGGUGGACACAAAAGAGACGCCAUGUGGGGAGGAAUGUUCCGGCAAGUGGAGGCUCUGCAGGCCAGGAAUGCAACUGGAAUGAAGCGCUUUCUGAUCUCCAUUACUGGCAUACAUGAAACAUCUGGUCACUGAUCCAGUUAUUAUGGCAUUGAACUUUUCACCCGACAUUGGAUCUGUAAGAAGCCACAGAUCUGCUGAGCUGCUUUCCCCUCUAUCCUCAGUUUAUCCUGGGGUGCAAUCUCAUUAACCACCCCCAGCUUCUCUCCAGGAAAGAAGUCUCCCUCAGCACCAGUCCUCCUGUGCCUGUCUUUUCUUCUUAAAUUCUGCAGAGACACAUAAAAUGAUACUGGGGUAAGACAGCAAGCACAUAUGACUUAGAGAACUUCUCACAGGAGAAAAAUAACACAGUUGGUUCAGAAAAUAAAUGGUAUAAACAAGAUUGUGUGUGUGUGUGACUAUUAUAGAGUAAAAUUGUC